rnacentral:lncRNA from 10 species
CCGCCUUCCAAGUCAAACCAGAGAUGGGUCUCUGAGAACAGCUGUGACAGCCACCUUCCCUCAUGUCUUCACCCAUCCCCAGCCAUACCUUGUUAUUUUUUACAUUCAUCUCUCCAUGUAUUCACAGUUUUACAAAGGAGCACACGGAACCCAACCCAGUCUGGGAAAUAGGCGUGAUGCCCCGCAGGAGGUGGUGAGGGAAGGUGGGGCCAGGUGCUCCAGGUUAGAGUGGCUGGGGAUGGUAAGCGUGGGAGGCAGAGGGGGAGGCACCAGGAGCCUUUCACUUAGAGAUGACGAAGGGAGAAGGAAAAGACCCAUCCAGAAUCCAAUUAUGUUAACUCAUCUCUGCUAUUGAUCCUACAUUCCAGGCCUGGGAAAAAACCCCAAAACCUAAUUACUGCACCGCUAAUGACUGAGAUGACAAAUCGAGGAGCCUCCAGGCUGCUGAUGAUCUCCAACUGGAACAUGUGCCCCAGGAAACAAGAGAAGGAUCCCCAAAUAAAAUAUAGAACCCUGGAAUUUCAGAUAAACAAC